rnacentral:rRNA from 1 species
UUGAACGGUAUGUCGACUUGGAGGUUGUGCCCUUGAGGCGUGGCUUCCAGGAGCUAACGCGUUAAGUCGACCGCCUGGGGAGUACGGCCGCAAGGUUAAAACUCAAAUGAAUUGACGGGGGCCCGCACAAGCGGUGGAGCAUGUGGUUUAAUUCGAUGCAACGCGAAGAACCUUACCUGGUCUUGACAUCCACAGAACUUUGCAGAGAUGGAAUGGUGCCUUCGGGAACUGUGAGACAGGUGCUGCAUGGCUGUCGUCAGCUCGUGUUGUGAAAUGUUGGGUUAAGUCCCGCAACGAGCGCAACCCUUAUCCUUUGUUGCCAGCGGUCCGGCCGGGAACUCAAAGGAGACUGCCAGUGAUAAACUGGAGGAAGGUGGGGAUGACGUCAAGUCAUCAUGGCCCUUACGACCAGGGCUACACACGUGCUACAAUGGCGCAUACAAAGAGAAGCGACCUCGCGAGAGCAAGCGGACCUCAUAAAGUGCGUCGUAGUCCGGAUUGGAGUCUGCAACUCGACUCCAUGAAGUCCGAAUCGCUAGUAAUCGUGGAUCAAAAUGCCACGGUGAAUACAUUCCCGGGCCCUGUACACACCGCGCGUCACACCAUGGGAAAUGGGCUGCUAAAGAAGUUCGUAGCUUAAGCUUCACGUAAGGGGGCUACCCCCUUUGAUGAUUCAUGACUGUGGGUGGAAGUCACAACAGGGUAAACCCGGAAACCCGGGUUGCCACCACCCGACUUUUCAAGCGUGAAAAGUCGUGUCGUAGUACAAGGGGGAUCAGACUUCCCUCGGCAGGUCAUUCCUCCUAAAACCAUGACGAAUUUGGAACGGUUUAGCCCCUUGGAAAUUCUAGCCCUCCCCGUAACAAAAACUCAAGUCAUUGCAACAAUCCCGGAUGCAGAUUCCCCAGGCUUGGAAUCCCCGGGGCAUUUUCCAAAUUUGGACGUUAGCCCAACCCGCCAUGGCGGUGGGACCUUUAGCGGCCUUAAAAAUUUUCCGGAAUUAACCGCCUUGGACCCCCUUUCCCGGAUUUACCAGCCCGCCCCGCUAGAAACCUUGAAAUUAAAAACCGGGAAGCUUUCUUCCUUUGCCGGGGGAACCGGUCCAAAUAAAACGGAAACGGUCAAUUGAAUCCUUUUCCCUUCCCCCUUUCCCGGUUCCCGGGGCAUAAAAGGGUUAACGUUUUAAACAAUUUCCCGGGAAAAGGGCCAUUUGCCUUUAAAUCCAUUAGACCGCCAUUUUGGGGUUUGGCCCACACCAGGGACCCUUUUGGCCCGCCAAUAAAUUUGGCCAGAAAAGUAAAUUUACCCCCCCAAAUUUGGGUUCCCAAACUCUCCCCUGGGGGAAAAAAAAAGAUGUUCCGGGGGAGAACAACAUGGGGAGUUCUCCAUUAAAAGGUUUUUCCCCCAAAAGAGUUGGGGCGCCCCCCUUUGGGUUGGAACAAAAACCCUUUCAUGUGCCUUCAGCUAAAAAAAACCCCCCGGCCUUUUUUUUUGGGGGAGAAAAAAAUCCCUUUUGGGGGGUCCCCCCUCUCAACAAAAAAUCCGGGGAGGGGAAAAAAACCGCCAUCUUUUUUUGGUGCGCACCCCCUCCAA